rnacentral:rRNA from 1 species
GGCGCCUGCCGCGAGCCUGACGGAGCAUACCGCGUGAGGGACGAAAGCCUUUGGGUUGUAAACCUCUUUUUUCAGGGAGGAAGUUCUGACGUGUACCUGAAGAAUAAGCAUCGGCUAACUCCGUGCCAGCAGCCGCGGUAAGACGGAGGAUGCAAGUGUUAUCCGGAAUUAUUGGGCGUAAAGCGUCUGUAGGUGGCUUAUUAAGUCUACUGUUAAAUAUUAAAGCUUAACUUUAAACUUGCAGUGGAAACUGAUAAGCUUGAGUACGGUCGAAGUAAAAGGAAUUUCCAGUGAAGCGGUGAAAUGCGUAGAUAUUGGAAGGAACACCGAUGGCGAAGGCAUUUUACUAGGCCCUUACUGACACUGAGAGACGAAAGCUAGGGUAGCAAAUGGGAUUAGAUACCCAGUAGUCAAU